rnacentral:rRNA from 1 species
GACGAACGCUGGCGGCGUGCCUAAUAUAUGCAAGUAGAACGCUGAAGAGAGGAGCUUGCUCUUCUUGGAUGAGUUGCGAACGGGUGAGUAACGCGUAGGUAACCUGCCUUGUAGCGGGGGAUAACUAUUGGAAACGAUAGCUAAUACCGCAUAACAAUGGAUGACACAUGUCAUUUAUUUGAAAGGGGCAAUUGCUCCACUACAAGAUGGACCUGCGUUGUAUUAGCUAGUAGGUGAGGUAACGGCUCACCUAGGCGACGAUACAUAGCCGACCUGAGAGGGUGAUCGGCCACACUGGGACUGAGACACGGCCCAGACUCCUACGGGAGGCAGCAGUAGGGAAUCUUCGGCAAUGGGGGCAACCCUGACCGAGCAACGCCGCGUGAGUGAAGAAGGUUUUCGGAUCGUAAAGCUCUGUUGUAAGUCAAGAACGAGUGUGAGAGUGGAAAGUUCACACUGUGACGGUAGCUUACCAGAAAGGGACGGCUAACUACGUGCCAGCAGCCGCGGUAAUACGUAGGUCCCGAGCGUUGUCCGGAUUUAUUGGGCGUAAAGCGAGCGCAGGCGGUUUGAUAAGUCUGAAGUUAAAGGCUGUGGCUCAACCAUAGUUCGCUUUGGAAACUGUCAAACUUGAGUGCAGAAGGGGAGAGUGGAAUUCCAUGUGUAGCGGUGAAAUGCGUAGAUAUAUGGAGGAACACCGGUGGCGAAAGCGGCUCUCUGGUCUGUAACUGACGCUGAGGCUCGAAAGCGUGGGGAGCGAACAGG